rnacentral:rRNA from 1 species
UACAGAGGGGGCUAGCGUUAUUCGGAAUUAUUGGGCGUAAAGGGCGCGUAGGCGGCCAUGCGUGUCUUCCGUGAAAUCCCUCGGCUUAACUGAGGACGUGCGGAAGAAACUGCAAGGCUCGAGUCCGGGAGAGGGGGGUGGAAUUCCCAGUGUAGCGGUGAAAUGCGUAGAUAUUGGGAGGAACACCGGUGGCGAAGGCGGCCCCCUGGACCGGUACUGACGCUGAGGCGCGAAGGCGUAGGGAGCAAACGGG